rnacentral:rRNA from 1 species
CCCUGCCCUUUGUACACACCGCCCGUCGCUACUACCGAUUGAAUGGCUUAGUGAGGCCUCCGGAUCGGACCUGAAGAGCGGGCAACCGCACCUCGGGUUUGAGAAGCUGGUCAAACUUGGUCAUUUAGAGG